UGAGUAUUUCAUUCUCCAAGCAGCAGAAGAUCUGGAGUUUUGCACCGAAUUUCCAUGGGGCCGUUACACAUUUGAUGAUUGCAUGAAGGAGAUUUUUCAUGUGAGGGAUCAGUUUCGUGAUGGGAUCCCAGAGAAGGCAGAGUGGGUAUUUCUGGGUUUAUCAACCCUUUGGAGAUAUUAGCAUUUGAAUGUAUCCCUGUCCUUAGAGAAAGAUUCAGAGAGCCUGUUCCAAACUGUUUUGAUGGUUGUCCAAGAAUGUGCAAAUGGAAGUUCAAGAGGACUGGAACAACAGAAUUUCCACGUGACAUGAUUUAUCGGACGCUAGGAAACACAAAGGAGAUUAUCAGUAUUUUGGAACCACAGGGAUAUGAAGCAGACCUUUUGUAUGAAAUAAUGGAUGAAGGGACUUAUGAAGACUUGGAGCUGAUAGAUGAUUCGGAUACGCCAGACAUAGAUCCUACUAGAACCAGGGAGUAAAAUUUUCUGGCCUUAUCUAUUCGCGAUGGAUGUGAGAACCCAAGAGCAACAAGAGCAAGCAAGAGGCGAGGCAGGAGGCGAGGCAGGGGGCGAGGCAGGAGUUGAGGCAGGGGGCAAGGCAG